UAUUGCACAAUGGGGGAAACCCUGAUGCAGCGACGCCGCGCGAGUGAAGAAGUAUUUCGGUAUGUAAAGCUCUAUCAGCAGGGAAGAAAAUGACGGUACCUGAUUAAGAAGCACCGGCUAACUACGCUCCAGCAGCCGAGGUAAUACGUAGGGGGCAAGCGUUAUCCGGAUUUACUGGGUGUAAAGGGAGCGUAGACGGCAGCACAAGUCUGGAGGGAAAUGCCGGGGCUUAACCCCGGAACUGCUUUGGAAACUGUGCAGCUAGAGUGCAGGAGAGGUAAGUGGAAUUCCUAGUGUAGCGGUGAAAUGCGUAGAUAUUAGGAGGAACACCAGUGGCGAAGGCGGCUUACUGGACUGUAACCGACGUUGAGGCUCGAAAGCGUGGGGAGCAAACAGG
rnacentral:rRNA from 1 species